CCAUAGUNCGCUUUGGAAACUGUUUAACUUGAGUGCAGAAGGGGAGAGUGGAAUUCCAUGUGUAGCGGUGAAAUGCGUAGGUAUAUGGAGGAACACCGGUGGCGAAAGCGGCUCUCUGGUCUGUAACUGACGCUGAGGCUNGAAAGCGUGGGGAGCAAACAGGAUUAGAUACCNUGGUAGUCCACGCCGUAAACGAUGAGUGCUAGGUGUUGGGUCCUUUCCGGGACUCAGUGCCGCAGCUAACGCAUUAAGCACUCCGCCUGGGGAGUACGACCGCAAGGUUGAAACUCAAAGGAAUUGACGGGGGCCCGCACAAGCGGUGGAGCAUGUGGUUUAAUUUGAAGCAACGCGAAGAACCUUACCAGGUCUUGACAUCCCGGUGCCCGUCCUAGAGAUAGGAUUUUGCUUCGGCACACCGGUGACAGGUGGUGCAUGGUUGUCGUCAGCUCGUGUCGUGAGAUGUUGGGUUAAGUCCCGCAACGAGCGCAACCCUUAUUGUUAGUUGCCAUCAUUUAGUUGGGCACUCUAGCGAGACUGCCGGUAAUAAACCGGAGGAAGGUGGGGAUGACGUCAAAUCAUCAUGCCCCUUAUGACCUGGGCUACACACGUGCUACAAUGGCUGGUACAACGAGUCGCAAGUCGGUGACGGCAAGCUAAUCUCUUAAAGCCAGUCUCAGUUCGGAUUGUAGGCUGCAACUCGCCUACAUGAAGUCGGAAUCGCUAGUAAUCGCGGAUCAGCACGCCGCGGUGAAUACGUUCCCGGGCCUUGUACACACCGCCCGUCACACCACGAGAGUUUGUAACACCCGAAGUCGG
rnacentral:rRNA from 1 species